AAAAUUCUUCCUGCAUGCAAAAUCUAUUGCACGGAACAUGAGCAUUUUCUGCCUUGCUGAUUAUAACAUGUGCCCAACAAUGUUGCUAGCCUGGGAAAUAAUUGAUUGACCAUCCUUCACAGAAAUUGAGAACAUAGAUCAUUAAAGUUAGAAUCGACGGAGAAAAUAAAAUAUAUUGCAUAUUAUGCACUUGGAACCUGAAAAAACGAUUAAUUGGUUGCAAUGCUUAUAAAACCCAUUAAAUAGGGCCCAACAAAGAAGCGAGUAACAAAAUACACAUAUACAUGAUAGAACUUCAGAAGCACAGUCCAAGUAUAAGGCAUCAGAAAAAUGAACUGGAUUGUACGAUAACUUCUUAUUUACUCGUACCAUGGGCAUCGGUAGUUCCUCGAUGGACAACUUCAUGGGCUCGAUUUAAUAAUCGUGCACUGAUGGGUCCAUACAAUCAAGGGAUAUAUUGUGCAUGCCAGAGAUGAGGAACAUGGGACAAUAUCAGUGCAGAUUGGUGGUAGAAGAAAAUGUGUCAUGAUAAUUAAGGUAUGAAUUAUGAAAAACUGAGAAAAAAAAGAGAGCCAAAAUCAGUGAUACAAAUAUGAAACUUGUUUCCUUGAGUGAAUCUCCAUGCUCCAAAUGAUAGUAAAUCACAUAGCUUGACUGAUUUGAGUGGGUAUAAUUAUAUAUACAUGCUUUUCAGCCUUCACCGGACUAACACCUAGGGCCUACAAACACAUGUGAGUUGUUUGUUUUGCCUACAUAAUUAGUUAAUGAACCACAGUCUUCCUUUGAUGAACGCACCUGCAGACAAAUAGCUUACAGAGGUGCAUGCUAAAAAGACACUGUAUUAAAUAAGAGAGUAUUAUACUACCUCGGAACAAAAGUUUCUUGACACACUUAAUCCAUCACCAGACCAGUUGCUUAAUGAUGAGCUUAUCACCUCACCCUCGAAUGUGCCGCGACCAAGAGGAGCUUCCCAUAUGCACCCUGUAUGGAUAGUCUAAACAAUGUUAGAACUAACACACUGCACAUACAGAAAACACAUUGUAUAUACCUAAUCAAAAGACUGGCAUGGGUGAUGUUUAAAAGAUCACUGCAUAGUGGACGGUCGCAUUUCAUCGACCAAUGUUAUAUAACGUGUAGAGGCAGCAAAUUAUAUAAUCAGUAUAUGAUGUUCAUCACCUGCAUUAAAAUCUUUCUUUUCUCAAAUUUUCCGCUGGAUGUAACUCACUGCGUUCUCUUCAUCAUCUGCAACACACAGACACACACACACACACAGAGAGGGGCUAAUGGCACCAGGAGAAAGAGAGGCCAAGACCUAUCCGCAUCACCAAAUUUUGUAUAACAUGUGGAGGCAGCCAAUUUCAUGAUGUUCAUCACCUGCAUGCAGAUCUCGCUUAUCUGGUAUUUGCCGCCGGAUCUAACUCGUUGCAUUCUUUUCAUCAUCUGCAAUACACACAAAGAGAAAGAGAG
rnacentral:lncRNA from 1 species